rnacentral:hammerhead_ribozyme from 1 species
AUCCAGUUGACCAGUCCUAAAUAGGACGAAACGCGCGUCCUGGAU